UACGUAGGGGGCAAGCGUUAUCCGGAAUCACUGGGCGUAAAGGGAGCGUAGGCGGUUUGACAAGCCAGGGGUGAAAGGCAAUAGCUUAACUAUUGUAAGCCUUUGGAACUGUCGAACUUGAGUGCAGGAGAGGAAAGUGGAAUUCCUAGUGUAGCGGUGAAAUGCGUAGAUAUUAGGAGGAACACCAGUGGCGAAGGCGACUUUCUGGACUGUAACUGACGCUGAGGCUCGAAAGCGUGGGGAGCGAACAGG
rnacentral:rRNA from 1 species